rnacentral:rRNA from 2 species
GACAUCAGGAGGUUAGUGCAAUGGCAUAAGCCAGCUUGACUGCGAGCGUGACGGCGCGAGCAGGUGCGAAAGCAGGUCAUAGUGAUCCGGUGGUUCUGAAUGGAAGGGCCAUCGCUCAACGGAUAAAAGGUACUCCGGGGAUAACAGGCUGAUACCGCCCAAGAGUUCAUAUCGACGGCGGUGUUUGGCACCUCGAUGUCGGCUCAUCACAUCCUGGGGCUGAAGUAGGUCCCAAGGGUAUGGCUGUUCGCCAUUUAAAGUGGUACGCGAGCUGGGUUUAGAACGUCGUGAGACAGUUCGGUCCCUAUCUGCCGUGGGCGCUGGAGAACUGAGGGGGGCUGCUCCUAGUACGAGAGGACCGGAGUGGACGCAUCACUGGUGUUCGGGUUGUCAUGCCAAUGGCACUGCCCGGUAGCUAAAUGCGGAAGAGAUAAGUGCUGAAAGCAUCUAAGCACG